rnacentral:rRNA from 1 species
UUGGAGGGCAAGUCUGGUGCCAGCAGCCGCGGUAAUUCCAGCUCCAAUAGCGUAUAUUAAAGUUGUUGCAGUUAAAAAGCUCGUAGUUGAAUUUCGGGACCAAUUUGUUGGUCGUGCCUCGGUACGUACUGGUAUUAUUGGUUUCUCCCUUCUGAAGAACCUCGAUGCCAUUAAUUUGGUGUCGUGGGGAAUCAGGACUGUUGCUUUGAAAAAAUUAGAGUGUUUAAAGCAAGCAUACGCUUGAAUACAUUAGCAUGGAAUAAUGAAAUAGGACGUUUGAUUCUAUUUUGUUGGUUUCUAGGAUCGACGUAAUGAUUAAUAGGGAUAGUUGGGGGCAUUAGUAUUCAAUUGUCAGAGGUGAAAUUCUUGGAUUUAUUGAGGACUAACUACUGCGAAAGCAUUUGCCAAGGAUGUUUUCAUUAAUCAAGAACGAAAGUUAGGGGAUCGAAGACGAUCAGAUACCGUCGUAGUCUUAACCAUAAACUAUGCCGACUAGGGAUCGGAUGAUGUUAAUUUUUUAAUGACUCAUUCGGCGCCUUACGGGAAAC